GACAGAGGGUGCAAACGUUGUUCGGAAUUACUGGGCGUAAAGCGCGUGUAGGCUGCUCGGAAAGUCGGAUGUGAAAGCCCUGGGCUCAACCCAGGAAGAGCAUUCGAAACUUCCGGUCUAGAGUGGUGGAGAGGGAAGUGGAAUUCCUGGUGUAGAGGUGAAAUUCGUAGAUAUCAGGAGGAACACCAGUGGCGAAGGCGGCUUCCUGGACACCAACUGACGCUGAGACGCGAAAGCGUGGGGAGCAAACAGG
rnacentral:rRNA from 1 species